CUCUGCUUCUGCUCGGAGAAUACGCCGAAGAAUUCUCCAAAAUCACUGAAGACGCCGCCGCCGUUCUACUCGUCGUCGCCGCCGCUUCCGCUGAUCGCCGCAACCGCCGGAUCUGGUGGUCGAAGCUGUCUUCCGCCGCGUCUGAAACUUCUCUUCUCCAUGCUCCUCUCUCAGAUUUCCUUCGCCACAUCUGGUGAAGCUUUUGAGGCUCGCCAGAUUUUUGGCGAUUGAGAUUUGGCUUGGCGAGUUGCGUUGGAGGCCUGAUUUUGGGGUUGGCUCCCUAUAUUUAGCUUGGCGAAUUGAAAUAGGGAAGCCGUUGGAGAUGGCCUAAUUUACCCAAUUCGAAGACAAUCUGAUUCAGCCUGGUCUCACGUUCGAGUCGUCGGAGAAACGAUAUUUGCUCCUAUGUCCUUCUCAGCGACGGCACUUUCACCGAGGGUUUUUCGAACAGUCAGCUGCUCUGGUCGUGUUCUCCGACGAUUCGUCCGGCGAAGCGCUAGUUAGUGUCCGUAUUUGUAUUGGUUAUUCCCGAAUGUUCCUCAAACUUCUUCUCCUUCAAUGUUCGAAUCAAUUUUCUCAGAUCUAACGGGGUAGAGAUAGUAGCCCUAACAGCUCUUUCGACGCCUAAUCCGACUACCGCUGAGUUUUUAAGGCAUUAGCUGUUACUCUGCAUCCUUUCUUCAAUAUGUCAUCUUCAAAUAGACUAUCAGCUGAAGUUGGGAACUUCAGUCAUCAAAAUGCUUUUCCUGUGGAAGCAAAUUUAUCUCAUUGCAGCGAAAGCCAUUUGGACCAAGAGGAUGAGGAAGAAGAUGAGGAACAGGAUGUAGAUUUCAACCCAUUUUUGAAAGAAUCCCCAUCUUUGGAAGCUUCUUCUGGCCUGAGUUCCGAAAUAGAAGUUUUGGAUGCUGAUAUCACUGAGGGUGAGGGAAACACAGAUGUAGCCCUUCCUGCUGAUUUCUCAUCAAUUCCAGCUGGUUUGCUGCAAGACUAUGCUCUUGGAGGUUCAGAGCAGACUGAACAGAUUGUAAGACAAACUAAAAUUUUAUCUGGGGAAACAGGUGAAAAAGAAUUUGAGAAAGCAACCCCUUCAAGAUUGAGGAAGAGAAACGCAGUUUUGAUUUCUCAACUUGAAAAUGAAAAUGAAACAUCUGAUAAUAAGGGGAUCUGUUCAAUAAGUGGGCUAGGUGCCAUUAAUGAUGUUAUGGACAGAGAUAUAACAAAUUCCGGGAAGCCAAUUAUGGAUAUAGAUGAUGAUGAUGCUAUCUUCAAGCGUACAAGGGCCCGCUAUUCACUUGCUAGCUUCACACUUGAUGAACUUGAGACUUUUCUUCAAGAAACAGAUGAUGAUGAGGAUCUUCAAAAUGUUGAUGAUGAGGAAGAGUACAGGAAAUUUCUUGCUGCUGUUUUACAGGGUGGUGAUGGUGAUAAUCAAAGUAGAGAAGGAAAUGGAAAUGUGGAUGAUGAAGAUGAAGAAAAUGACGCAGACUUUGAAUUAGAAAUUGAGGAGGCACUUGAAAGUGAUCUUGAUGAGAACACAAGGGGUGAUAACCAAGAAGAGCGUGAGGCAGCUGGUCGACGCCCUGAAACUAGGCUAAAUAGACGACAGAAAGCUUCUACCCAACAGAAACAUAAGCUUUUGGAACAGUCAAAUAGACCAUUGCGACCACUCUUACCAAAUGCACCUGUUGUGUCUUUCCCUAUGUUGAUACCUGAGACUGCUUCACACUCUUGGUCAUUCUCAGGACAUGAUGGCUCUAUGAAUGGAUUUACUCCGCAUCAGCUGGGUCAGUUGCAUUGUCUAAUACACGAACACGUGCAACUUCUUAUUCAGGUGUUUUCUCUUUGUGUUCUUGAUCCUUCUAGACAGCACAUUGCCUGCCAAGUUCAGAAAUUAAUUUCAGAGAUACUUCAUAAAAGAGAUCAAGAAAUAUCACGGAGAAGUGUGCCAUAUCCCUGUUUUUUCUUUUGCCCCCCUUACAUUAAUCCUUCCUUACAGUGUGGAUAUUCCAAAUCUUUGACAGCACCUUCCACCUCUGAGCCAGCAUGUUCUGUAGAUGAACAUAGAAAUUGCUCCUCUGGAACUAUUUCUCCUUCUAGAGGAAGUCGUGGGCAUGAUUCUACUGGGAAGGGGAGUCCUUCCCAAACUUUUGACAGUGCAUUCUGGGUGCCGUCUUUGAAUGGUCAAAUCCUAUCUGUUCUUGAUGUAGCUCCGCUUAGUUUACUUGGAAAAUAUAUGGAAGAUGUUUCUAUUGCUGUGCAAGAGCAUCAGAAACAAUGCAUUCAAGCUACUUGUGAUGAUCGCUUUAAAAAGGAACCUCUGUACCCUCUCCACUGUUUUCAGACAUUUUUGGAAGCUGAUAUGGAAGUUCUUAGAGGAACCACUUCGCCGGCUGCAAAGGCACCAUCUUAUCCUGUCAAUGAUCAACCACCCAAAAAGACUUUGGCUGCUUCACUUGUUGAAAGGACCAAGAAGCAACCAGUUGCUCUAGUUCCAAAGGAAAUUGCUGAUUUAGCGCAGAGAUUCUUGCCACUAUUUAAUUCAGCCCUAUUUCCUCAUAAGCCACCCCCAGGACCUGUUGCAAAUCGGGUGCUGUUCACAGAUGCAGAAGAUGAGUUACUUGCAUUGGGGUUGAUGGAAUAUAAUACAGACUGGAAAGCAAUUCAACAACGAUUUCUUCCUUGCAAAUCCAAGCAUCAGAUUUUUGUUAGGCAGAAAAAUCGUUCUUCUUCAAAAGCACCUGAAAAUCCAAUCAAGGCAGUUCGAAGAAUGAAAAGCUCCCCCUUGACUGCAGAAGAGGUAGCACGUAUUCAAGAGGGCCUAAAGAUUUUUAAGCUUGACUGGAUGUCCAUAUGGAAAUUUAUUGUUCCAUAUCGAGAUCCAUCCUUGUUACCCCGACAAUGGCGCAUUGCUACUGGAACACAGAAAUCAUAUAAGUUGACUGCAGACAAAAAAGAGAAGCGCAGAAUAUAUGAAUCAAAUAGAAGAAAGUGCAAACCUGCUGCUUUGGCAAGUUGGCAAACUUCAUCUGAAAAAGAGGGCUGUCAAACUGAUAACGCUGGUGGAGAAAAUAAUAGUGGAGAUGAUUGCGUGGAUAAUGAAGAUGAAGCAUAUGUUCAUGAGGCAUUUUUGGCUGAUUGGAGGCCUGGUGCCUCCUUUCCUCUUUCCUCUGGACUUCCUGUCUCAAAUCUUAAUGAAAGAAACCGACCCAGUGUUCUAGUGCCGCUAGGGGGUUGUCAUACCAUGGAACUAACAAAUAGUAGGGGCUCUGGAGAAUCUCAUCCCCAAAUUGGUGACGAGUUUCCAGCUGCAUUUAAGGAUUACCAGAAUCUGGAAACUUUCUCGCAUUUUACCCCUGCUAGAUGUUAUUCAUACCCCGUUCAGCCAAAUCAACCUGUUUCUCAUGUGAUUUUGAGACCUUCAAAGUCUCAAGUCUGUUCACGGCCAUAUCGAUCUCGUAGAACAAACACUGCUCACUUAGUGAAGUUAGCUCCAGAUUUGCCGCCUGUAAAUCUUCCACCAUCUGUCCGUGUGAUGUCUCAGUCAGCUUUCAAAAGUUAUCAAGGUGGAGUACCUUCUAAGGUUCCGGCUGCUGAUGCCAGUAGUGGUGCUGCUGCUGCAGAGAAAAUAGUUUCAUCUGUUCCUCACAAUGCAAAUUUAGGAAGCACUCAUCCAGCAAAAUAUACGGAGUACAAAAGACCCCCACCGGAAAAAACCAAUAUUAAUGAGCACCAACAAGAACCUUCUGUCCUCGGGGAUAAAUUUGCAGGAGAUAAAGGCGAAUCAGAUCUUCAGAUGCAUCCUUUACUGUUUCAGCCCUCUGGUGAUGGCCAUUUACCAUAUUACUCAUUUAAGAGCUCCAGUACUCAGAGGUCUUCCAAUUUCUUUUCACAAAUCCAGCCUCAGUUAAAUCUCACUCUCCUAUACAAUCCCCAUGAAGCAAACAAUGUAGUUAAUCGCUUUGAUAAAUCUUUGAAGUCAAAGAAAACAACCUCAUGUGCUGGCAGUAUUGAUUUUCAUCCACUUCUGCAAAUAGCUGAUGAUAUAAAUAUUCACUCAGAAACUGUGAAUUCGGUUGCCCAGGUAUCUGUUACUUUGGAACCAUUAGGAGGUGGUUGUGCUCAGCUUCAGACUCCAUUUGAUGCUACUCAGUCUAAAUCCCAAGUCAAUUGCAGUACAGUUGCCACUAGUACUAAAUCGUCUAGUCCUAAUGAAAAAGCUAAUGAACUGGACUUGGACAUUCACUUAAGUUUCAUAUCCAGGAAGGAGAAAGCUAUAGGUGGUAGAGAUGCGGCUGAACACAACCAAACCACCACUGAGAAUUCAUGUUAUCAGAAUAGUGGAUUUUGUCCAGGAGCCUCAAUUCCUAUCGGAGUCAGCAAGAAGCUUAAUUCAGCUGCCCAAGCUUUAGUUGCAUCGAACAAUAAUAGUUCUACAUAUGGAGUCAAUGAUGGAGGUGACCAGCCUCCUCUAGAAAUUGUGAUGGAACACGAAGAGUUGAGUGACUCUGAGGAAGAAAUUGGGGAACAGGUAGAGUUUGAAUGUGAGGAGAUGGAUGACUCUGAAGGAGAUGAAGGAUCCGAUUCUGAACAUAUGAUAGACGUACAAAAUGAGUGAAUUCAUGGCAUCAUCGAUCAUAGUUUUGUCUGUUUCAUAACCAUUGACUGCAAUCAACUUGGAGUUGCUCUGUCUGGGGAAGAUGGACACCGUAGGGGGCCCUUUUUUUUUUUUUUACUCAGAACCAUCUGCGGCAUUUGAUCUGAAGCAGAUGGGGAUGUAUCUCCUUUGGUAGGGGAAAAAAGAGAACAAAAGUGGGCAAGGAAAAUCAAGCAAGCAGCUCUCACAAAGGGGAAGGCUAGUUUCAGAAAAGAAGGGGUGCAUCAUGAGCGAGGGAGAGAGUACUGCCAUCUUACUGUCCUGCUGCAAAGACAAUCAUGCCUACAUCAUUUCUUGUGACUUUUACCUUUACCACUGAUGCGGAGGUCUCUAAUGUUGCGAGAGAGAAAGUAAUGAGAAAUUCUGAUUUUGAUGAUGACACUGCGAUGGGAGUACUAUUGAUAACCCAUUAACCUGCAAGGUAGCAUCUCUUGCGCCAUAGAGCGUGGCACUUCUAAGUUGGCUUUGAUGAUGCAAGGGAAAGGAAAGCCAACUACUUCUUCCUGCUCGAGUAUAAACUCUUCGGCUCCAGAUUGUUCACAGAAAAACAAGAUGAAACCCAAGGCUGCAGAGAAUGCAGGCAUACAAGUUUCGUGUGGCAAAAGUUUCCAACAACCCAGCCCCAACAGACCUUGGAAGAGUUCACUCCCACAUAGACAACAUAUCGCUAACUCAAAACAUGCUCAGAGCGUGGCACGGCAGCAAGAGAAAGGGCGGCAAAUGGGCUGUUCCAGGAAAAGUGUAAGUAGAAGUAAUUCCAGUUUAUUAUGUAUGGAUCCAGUCAGAAAAAGAGAUUCAAACAUAGAUACUAAUGUCACUGCAGAAGACUGCAAUUGCAUUUCUAACAUUGAAUUCAGGUGAUUAUGGCUAUGUUAUGACUUAUAUGUGUGGCGGAUGUAGUUGACUGACUCAACAAUCAACAUCCUGUUUAGAACCUAAGGUGGUGAAACCGGUGGAAGCAGACAAGAAGAGAAUUCUAUGGUGAGGCAGGCAGGUUCAUUUUUUGUAUUUUUGUUAGUAUCACGAUGUUGGUAAUUGAUUGUAUAAAGCAAAAUUAACAAUAUAUUUGUACAGGCUUUUUUGUU